AUGAGGAACUAUUUUGCAGAGAAUGCCACAUACCCCGAGUCCAACUUUUGGCGCCGCUUUAGGAUGAGCAUCGAGUUGUUCAAACGCAUUACAGAGAAACUGGCGAACCAUGAUCAGUUUUUUCAGUAAAGGAGGAAUGCCGCCAGAGAACUCGGGCAUAGCACCUUUCAAAAGGUGACCGCCGCUUUGCCUAUGGUGGCAUACGGUAUUCCGGCGGAUCUCGUUGAUUACCACUUGGCCAUGGGUGAGAGUCAAGCUAUCAUGUGUGUCAAGUGCUUUGCAGUUGGAAUUGUGCAAAGUGUUUGGUCCGAAAUAUUUGAGAGCUCCCAAUGGUCCGAAAUAUUCUCCACGAGUGUUGCUAUUUCCUCCUCAUAUCCAUCGCAUGUAGAUUUGAGUUAUUCCUCUAACUCUGUGAUCUUGGUUAUAGCCUUCUUCAGAUCUAUCAUGCCUGCACACAUCUGGUUCUCCUGGCAUCGAAUGUGCUGGUUUAACUCCUGA
rnacentral:rRNA from 1 species